rnacentral:rRNA from 1 species
UGAGUAAUGUCUGGGAAACUGCCUGAUGGAGGGGGAUAACUACUGGAAACGGUAGCUAAUACCGCAUAACGUCGCAAGACCAAAGAGGGGGACCUUCGGGCCUCUUGCCAUCGGAUGUGCCCAGAUGGGAUUAGCUAGUAGGUGGGGUAAAGGCUCACCUAGGCGACGAUCCCUAGCUGGUCUGAGAGGAUGACCAGCCACACUGGAACUGAGACACGGUCCAGACUCCUACGGGAGGCAGCAGUGGGGAAUAUUGCACAAUGGGCGCAAGCCUGAUGCAGCCAUGCCGCGUGUAUGAAGAAGGCCUUCGGGUUGUAAA